UGUAAUCUGGGUAAACAACGGGGCUGCCCUUCCAAUUGGGCAGGAGGGGCAGGGGUCAGCAACCCAUGCAAGGCAGGGCCCUCGGCGGCAACAUCUUCCCCUCAAAGGGCCCUGACAACCCCAAUGAGGAUGUACAAUGGAGGAACAAGACCAGGCUGCUGUGUUUUUCUGAAAGGGGCCCACACCCACCCCAGGGGAGCUGAUAGAGACACCACUGAGGCCCGCUGACACGGGGCCUGUCUCAGUGCAUACCAGCACUGCAUGGCCUGCGUGAGCCCACAUCCAUUAUUCACCACCACCCGGGCCAAAGAAAACAAAGGUCUCCUUUCACUAGGCCGGCCCGAAGCUCCUGCCUAUGGCCAGCUGUGCUUAUCUGUAGGAAAAAGUUGCCUCCAAGGACCCUCAGAUCCAUAUCUCUGCCUGUCUGGUUUUGAGGUUCAGCUCAUAGACUUUGGACUGCACAGACUGCAAACAGCCAAGACUGGGUCAGCGAUGGACUGAUGGGUCUCAAAGAUCUGAUGGUGAAGGGAUCCUUAGCGUAUUAUCUAUCACAACUUAUGUCACCUGCCUUCAACAUUUAUACGAUCUCACCUCAA